AGUGAACGCUGGCGGUAGGCCUAACACAUGCAAGUCGAACGGCAGCACAGUAAGAGCUUGCUCUUACGGGUGGCGAGUGGCGGACGGGUGAGGAAUACAUCGGAAUCUACUUUUUCGUGGGGGAUAACGUAGGGAAACUUACGCUAAUACCGCAUACGACCUACGGGUGAAAGCAGGGGAUCUUCGGACCUUUCGCGAUUGAAUGAGCCGAUGUCGGAUUAGCUAGUUGGCGGGGUAAAGGCCCACCAAGGCGACGAUCCGUAGCUGGUCUGAGAGGAUGAUCAGCCACACUGGAACUGAGACACGGUCCAGACUCCUACGGGAGGCAGCAGUGGGGAAUAUUGGACAAAGGGCGCAAGCCUGAUCCAGCCAUACCGCGUGGGUGAAGAAGGCCUUCGGGUUGUAAAGCCCUGUUGUUGGGAAAGAAAAGCAGCAGGUUAAUACCCCGCUGUUCUGACGGUACCCAAAGAAUAAGCACCGGCUAACUUCGUG
rnacentral:rRNA from 1 species